GGUUCCGUAGCUCAACUGGAUAGAGCAACUGCCUUCUAAGCAGUAGGUUUCGGGUUCGAGUCCCGACGGAAUCA
rnacentral:tRNA from 1 species